GGGAGCACACAUAAGGGCGUAUGGUGGAUGCCUAGACACGAGAUGCCGAAGAAGGACGUAGCAGCCUGCGAUAAGCCGCGGGGAGGUGGCAAGCAACCUUUGAUCCGCGGAUCUCCGAAUGGGGAAACCCGGUCCCGCAGAAGGCGGGAUCACCCGGCGCUGAAUACAUAGGCGACGGGAGGGCACCCAGGGAAGUGAAACAUCUCAGUACCUGGAGGAAGAGAAAAAAAUUGCUACCGCAGAUUUCUCGUCACAGAUCGCACAGAUUUUCUGUGCCAUCCGUGUCAGAGAAAUCAGUGGUAGCUGCAUUCCCCAAGUAGUGGCGAGCGAACGGGGAACAGCCCAAACCUCGUCGGGCCAAGUGCGGAAGCGGGCCCCGCGCAAGCGGGGUCACGUGCCGUAUGGCGGCUUCAGGGCUUUGUGUCCGACGGGGCGUUGUAAGAGAGUGGCGUUCGGCGCCUGCAACGCCGAGGAAGAGGAAUCCCAAAUGGGCCAUGUCUUUCCUAGCAGAACGGUUUGGAAAAACCGACCAUAGCGGGUGAUAGUCCCGUACGCGAAAGGAGUCAUGCCUCUUCUGUCAUUAUUCUUGAGUACCACGAGACUCGUGAAAUCUUGUGGGAAACAGGGGCGACUAUGCCCCAAGGCUAAACACAUCUCGUGAUCGAUAGUGAACCAGUACCGUGAGGGAAAGGUGAAAAGCAGCCCGGGAGGGCGAUGAAAUAGUAUCUGAAACCAUACGCUUACAAGGAGUCAGAGCCCCCACACCUUUUGGAUAAUCCAAAGGGUGUACGGACAAUGUUUGAUGGUGAUAGCACAUCAUCGAAAAAAUCAUCAUUGUCCAAAAGGUGUGGGGGUGAUGGCGUUCCUAUUGAAGAAUGAGCCAACGAGUUUGAUCUGCGUCGCUUGGUUAAUCCGCCGAGGCGGAGAAGCCGCAGCGAAAGCGAGUCUGAAAGGGCGUUUUUCACUUAUGAGCGAGGAGCCGUCGCAAGACUGCUCACCGCCCAUUUGUGAAAAUGUGGCGUAGACAAGACCCGAAACCCGGCGAGCUAGCCAUGGCCAGGAUGAACCCCCGCGAAAGCGGGGGGGAGGUCCGAACCUGUGAGCCGUACAACACUCUAGGAUGAGCUGUGGCUAGAGGUGAAAUUCCAAUCGAGCUGGGUGAUAGCUGGUUCUCCCCGAAAUAGCUUGUGGGCUAGCGUCGGUUACAGUUCGUGAGGGGUAGAGCACUGAAUGGGAUUCGAUGGAGAAAUCCUACGCAUCCUAACCAAACUCCGAAUACUCACGAAUGAUCCCGGCAGUCAGAGCACGGGGGCUAAGCUCCGUCGCUCAAAAGGGAAACAGCCCUGAUCUCAGUCUAAGGUCCCUAAAUUCCAGUUAAGUGUGAAAAGUGGUGUCGCGACUUCGACAACCAGGAGGUGGGCUUAGAGGCAGCCAUCCUUCAAAGAAAGCGUAACAGCUCACUGGUCAAGUUGCCGCGCGCUGAAAAUUUACCGGGGCUAAACUGGAUACCGAAGACGAGGGCUCGCGCCGCAAGGCGUGAGCGGUAGGGGAGCAUUCCGAGUGCGCUGAAGUCGCGUCGUGAGGCGCGGUGGAGCGCUCGGAAGAGAGAAUGUUGGCAUAAGUAGCAAAAAGACGGGUGAGAACCCCGUCCACCGUAAACCCAAGGUUUCCUGGGCAACGCAAAUCGUCCCAGGGUGAGCCGGUCCUAAGGCGAGGCCGAAGGGCGUAGCCGAUGGAUGAGCAGGUUAAUAUUCCUGCGCUCCCGCCGUGUUAUCGUCGCGCGACGCUUCACCGUAUUCUCCGUGUGUUUUGGCUAUGUACAUCCGCGGCGGCAAGGACUCCGCAAGGGGAACAAGCCGCUGUGGCCAGCUGGCCCGCGAGGGCUGGCAAGGGAGAAAAAGGUGGAGCCUAGAAAAACCGCGACGUUACGCACGACGGGACCCGUACCGCAAACCAACACAGGUGGGUAGGCAUAAGUGUGCCAAGGUGUACGAGAGAACCCUCGUUCAGGAACUCGGCAAUAUAGCGGCCGUAACUUCGGAAUAAGGCCUCCCCGUAGCAAUACGGGGCGCAGCUAAAGACGCUUAGCGACUGUUUACCAAAAACACAGGUCCCUGCUAAGUCGAAAGACGAUGUAUAGGGGCUGAUGCCUGGCCAGUGUCAGAACGUUAAGGAGAGGGGUCAUUCCGCCGCAAGGCGGAGGCAGCCCUGAACUGAAGCGCUGAUGAACGCCGGCGGUAACUAUGAACUGACGGUUGUAGUUACAAAUAGGUGAACAAGCAGUAUUGCCAAAAAUUGUUAUGCUGAAAAAAUUCGGCCAUAUGCGGGAAUAUCUGGUUAAUGCGAUGAGUACUCGACCUUGAAUGGUCAGUAACAAUCUCACGCUACAGACAACCCGCAGGAAAGAUUCCCUAUGCAAGACCAUGAACAAUGGUUGCGCUCUGUUCCGAUGGAAGUCGGAUCCUAUAUCGCUGGAUUCGUCGACGGUGAAGGAAGCUUCAAUGUUUCCCUGCGCCGUCGGCCGGACCACCGAUUGGGAUGGGACAUUGAUCCGAGCUUCAACGUGUCACAACGCGACAGAGUCAUCCUCGCAUGGGUGAAGCGCAUCUUUGGAUGCGGGACACUCCGCGAGCGACCCGACGGCGUUGUGUACUAUGAAGUUCGAAACGUGNNNNNNNNNNNNNNNNNNNGAUCUUCGAGAAGAUUGUGCAAACCCUGCAGAGCGGACCUCUCACGGAGCAUAUGCUCCGAGAAGUGGUUCGUCUCAGAGAAAUGCUCAACGAAGGUCGGGGGCGGAAGCGCAAAUACGAAGCGCACCACGUCCUCGAAGGGAAAAUCCUCAGAGACUUUACGCCGAACUCGUCUCCUCUCUAAACACUGAGAGAGGAGGGCGCGAGAUGAUAAAGUCCGAUCUCAUGGGCGUCCAUGAGCCCCGUAACCAAUCGGGGAUCCGGAAACGGAUUAACAGAAGAACCGUCCUAAGGUAGCGAAAUUCCUUGUCGGGUGAGUUCCGACCUGCACGAAUGGCAUAACGCCUGAGCGACUGUCUUAACGAGGGACUCGGCGAAAUUGCAAGUGGAGUGAAGAUGCUCCAUACCCGUGGUUAGACGAAAAGACCCCGUGAAGCUUUACUACAGCUUGACGUUGGCGUCAUGUUUCGCAUGUUCAGCGUAGGUGGGAGUCCCGCCGCAAGGCGGGACGCCAAUGAGACACCACCCUUGCGUUCCGUGUCGUCUUGAUCCUUAGCCGUGAAUCCGGCCGAGGAGACAGCGUCUGGUGGGUAGUUUGACUGGGGCGGUCGCCUCCUAAAAGGUAACGGAGGCGUUUACAAAGGUCGGCUUAGCUCCGAUGGAAACGGAGCUGGACGCGCAAGCGCACAAGCCGGCUUUACUGCAAGGCCUACAAGCCGAGCAGUCGCGAAAGCGGAAGCUAGUGAUCCGACCGUUCGAUAUAGGACGGCGGAAGCUCAUCGGACAAAAGCUACUCCGGGGAUAACAGGCUGAUCGGGUCCAAGAGUCCACAUCGACGACCCGGUUUGGCACCUUAAAAUAUCGGGGUGCUACAGGAGCGAUCCUGUACCAAAAAUUCGGCUUAUUACGGUGGAACCGUCAGUGAUUUAAAAAUCACCCGGCAAUACCGUGGGAAGUCAGGUCUAUUCGUCAUUACAAAAAAAUCUGCCCUGGGGGCAGGAGAUCAAUCCAUGGUUGGUAUGUUUGUAAUGACAAAACUUUGACCUUGACCCCGUAACGACUGACCCGAAAGGGGAGGCUUUAGCCAAGGCUAAGGCAACACGCCGACACUCGCCAAUUCAACCGAGACUACGCGAAAGAACACGCUACGGUCCGGGGCGAGAUGAAGAUAUAGUCUACGCCAUGCGAAAGCAUGGAAUCGAAAACCGACAGCGAUGUCGGCCCGUCGCAUCCUGGGGCUGGAGAAGGUCCCAAGGGUUUGGCUGUUCGCCAAUUAAAGCGGCACGCGAGCUGGGUUCAGAACGUCGUGAGACAGUAAGACCUUGCUGUCUAUAAAUUCGACUAAAUGCUGGAAAGUCUGGCCGAUCUCUUCCAGGAGAUGAGAUCGAAGUAUCUGGCGAUACCAAAUACAUGUCAUUCCCGCAAAAGCGGGAAUCCAGCCUGGAUCCCCGAUCAGGUCGGGGAUGACAUCAAAAAAUGGUAACAAUUCGUCCAGCGCAGAUAAUCAGCAGGAAAGUCCUUCGUGAAAUUGAAGGAAUCCUCAGAGACUAUACGUCGAACUCCGAGUAAUCGGAUGAAGAUAUAGUCCGAACUGCCCCGCAAUUUAGCGGGGUCCCGCAAACCUUAAAUUAAAUAAUAGGGUGCGGGACAUGGCGACUUGCAGAGCGCGGCAGAAAUGUCUGCGCCGCCCGAGCAAUCGGGUAGUAACAACAUUGUCGGUCUCCUAUCUACCACGGGCGCGGAAACUUGAGAGGGCUCAUCCCUAGUAGGCCCGUACGGGCCCUGCUACUUCACGCCGCAAGGUGUGAUGACAAUUCAGCUAAUAACGGUGAAGUCUUUGCGAGCGGCGCUGGUUGCGUAAUCGCACGUCUUGCUCGGUCCUGAGACAAGCGGUAUCAUGUACUUGAGGACCAGCUUAAGCCGUAAAGAUAAUACCGUGGGAAGUCGACCUAAAUCGCAAACCUGUGCAUACAUCGCCGGCUUUCUUGACGGAGACGGAAGCCUGAUGUUCCAACUAAAAAAGCGAACUGACACAUUACGUGGGUGGCGGUUCAUGGCAACGAUUUGUCUGUAUCAGGAUACACGCCAUGAAGAACCCCUACAUUGGAUCAGAUCGCAGUUGGGAAUCGGCUACUUGUCCCGGCGCAACGAUGGGAUCAGCGAGAUCAGAAUCAACGGAUUCAAACAAGUCCGCACGAUUCUCUCUUGGCUGCUUCCGUACACGCGCUUCAAGAAAGUUCAGGCCCGAGUCAUCUAUCGCGCGUGCGAUCUGCUGGCUCGGAAAGAAAUGUCCGCACUCACGAAAAAAGAUAAAAUCUUCUUGUGUCAUUGUCUAUUGACCGUUCAGGAGCACAAUUACGCAACAAGGCGCAAGAAAACGUUCCGUGAGUUGUGCACUGCGAUUGGUUUGACCCCGUAACGACUGAUCCCAACCUGCUACUAAGCAGGAAGGGUGAGAUAGAAAUGGAUACGGUAAAGUACGGAUAUUUCUAUCACACGCUGACCCCGUCAAACUUUUAAAGAAAAGUAAGGCGGGUGAAGAUAUAGUCUACUUCCUCUGGUGACAGAGGGUUAAGUGACGAGAGGACCGGGAUGGACGAAUCUCUCGUGUACCAGCUGUCCUGCCAAGGGCACCGCUGGGUAGCGAAAUUCGGCACGGAUAAGCGCUGAAAGCAUAUAAGCGCGAAGCCGUCCUCGAGAUUAGGUUUCAUAGACCCCUUCGAGAUGAGAAGGUUGAUAGGCGGUAGGUGUAAGGCCCGCAAGGGCUUGAGCCGAGCCGUACUAAUCGGUCAUUGUGUUUUUCA
rnacentral:rRNA from 1 species